rnacentral:rRNA from 1 species
AAUGAACGCUGGCGGCAUGCCUAACACAUGCAAGUCGAACGAACCCUUCGGGUCUUGUGUCGUCCGGGUGCGUAACCCGUCGGAACCUGACCUUAUGUUCGGACUAACUCCCCGAAAGGGGUACUAAUACCGGAUAAUGUCUUCUGACCGAUGAUUUAUCGACUUUGGUUGGACCGUAGUUGGAUUAGCUUGUUCGUACGGUUAAAGGCUACGAAGGCGCCGAUCCAUAACUGGUCUGAGAGAAUGAUCACCGACACUGGGACUGAGACACGGCCCAGACUCCUACGGGAGGCAGGAAUGGGUGAUAGUGCAAAGUGGGGGAAAGGAUGAACGUGCUAGGACGCGUGAGUGAUGAAAGUCUGAAGGUUGAAAAGCGCUUGUAACCAGGAUGAUAAUGACAGUACCGGGUGAAUAAGCCACGGCUAACUCCGUG